rnacentral:lncRNA from 1 species
UUUUUUAUUACAAUAGCAGGUCCAAAAUCAACCCAAUACAGUGGCCCAAAUGCUUAAAUGCUAACCCACUAAGGCCGAUUAAAAUUUAAACCCAAUUUGCCUAGACCCUAGCCCAAUCACGAAGCGGCCCAACACCAGAAUGCACAGCAGCAAACCCUAGCAGCUUCCAGCGCGAGCCGCCGCAACAGUAGCCUCUGCCCUUGCACGUGCGCCACCGCCACGUACCACGCCUUCACGCAUUGCACCGUGCCACGUCAUCGUACGACCAUUCCCGCAACAAACAAAAGACGAACAACGCAACACCAAAAAAAAAGGACAGAUAGCAGUUGUAAAAAAUUGAGAUUUUGAUUAUUUCUUUUGAUUGUUCGGCAAUAUAAGGCCAGAUAUCAGAUAUUGUAAAUGGGGAUUUUUCUUUUCUCUUUUGCUUCUCAUUUGUACACCCACGGACAAAUAUUGAAUACAAAAAAAAAUUUGAAAAAAACAGAAGAUUUGAGAGGUAUAUUCAUUUUUUUUUCUUUUCGUUUUUCCUUCAUUGUUUUCUUUCUCUUUUUGCUUCUUUACGAAUACACUAAACAAAGAAAAAGAGAGGUUUAAGGAUGAGAGUUUACCUUCAUAGUGCGAUGGUCGGAUCCUGUUUCUCUCGUCGCAAUCGGAGCAGAAGGGGAUCUGAAAGGUUGAGCUGCGACAGGAGAUGAAAAACCAAGCGGCG